rnacentral:rRNA from 1 species
GUAGGGUGCGAGCGUUAUCCGGAAUCAUUGGGCGUAAAGAGCUCGUAGGCGGUUCAGCAAGUCGGCUGUGAAAUUCCGAGGCUCAACCUCGGAACUGCAGUCGAUACUGUUGUGACUCGAGUUCGGUAGAGGAGAAUGGAAUUCCCGGUGUAGCGGUGAAAUGCGCAGAUAUCGGGAGGAACACCAGUAGCGAAGGCGGUUCUCUGGGCCGGCACUGACGCUGAGGAGCGAAAGCGUGGGGUAGCAAACAGGAUUAGAUACCCUGGUAGUCCACGCCGUAAACGUUGGAUACUAGGUGUGGGGUUCCGACCAACGGUCCCCGUGCCGAAGCUAACGCAUUAAGUAUCCCCGCCUGGGGAGUACGGCCGCAAGGCUA